UUUAAGGUGAAGGGCUCUUGAGAGAAAGCCACAUCUAGAGAAAUUGGUUAAAAAUUUGAAUGGAUAAGAGGAGUGAGGGCUUUGAGUAUUAGAAGUUUGUUCAUUCUUCACAAGGCACUUCCUGGUAAAUGGUGUUGGAGAUUCACAAUUGACAAUGAACCCUUUGGAAGCGGUUAUUACAAGGAAGUAUGGGUAGGAAGAGGGGGAAUUGUGCUCUAGUAGAGUGAGGGAAGGGUAAGGGGUGAGUGCGUAGAAGGCAAUUAGGAG
rnacentral:lncRNA from 1 species